rnacentral:rRNA from 1 species
UACGAGGGGGGCAAGCGUUGUUCGGAAUUAUUGGGCGUAAAGGGCGCGUAGGCGGUGCGGUAAGUCACCUGUGAAAUCUCCUGGCUCAACUGGGAGCUUGCAGGCGAAACUGCCGUGCUGGAGUGUGGGAGAGGUGAGUGGAAUUCCCGGUGUAGCGGUGAAAUGCGCAGAUAUCGGGAGGAACACCGGUGGCGAAGGCGGUUCUCUGGGACGUGACUGACGCUGAGACGCGAAAGCGUGGGGAGCAAACAGG